rnacentral:rRNA from 1 species
AUUGAACGCUGGCGGCAGGCUUAACACAUGCAAGUCGAGCGGGGGAAGGUAGCUUGCUACCGGACCUAGCGGCGGACGGGUGAGUAAUGCUUAGGAAUCUGCCUAUUAGUGGGGGGCAACAUCUCGAAAGGGAUGCUAAUACCGCAUACGUCCUACGGGAGAAAGCAGGGGAUCUUCGGACCUUGCGCUAAUAGAUGAGCCUAAGUCGGAUUAGCUAGUUGGUGGGGUAAAGGCCUACCAAGGCGACGAUCUGUAGCGGGUCUGAGAGGAUGAUCCGCCACACUGGGACUGAGACACGGCCCAGACUCCUACGGGAGGCAGCAGUGGGGAAUAUUGGACAAUGGGGGGAACCCUGAUCCAGCCAUGCCGCGUGUGUGAAGAAGGCCUUAUGGUUGUAAAGCACUUUAAGCGAGGAGGAGGCUACUUUAGUUAAUACCUAGAGAUAGUGGACGUUACUCGCAGAAUAAGCACCGGCUAACUCUGUGCCAGCAGCCGCGGUAAUACAGAGGGUGCGAGCGUUAAUCGGAUUUACUGGGCGUAAAGCGUGCGUAGGCGGCUUAUUAAGUCGGAUGUGAAAUCCCCGAGCUUAACUUGGGAAUUGCAUUCGAUACUGGUGAGCUAGAGUAUGGGAGAGGAUGGUAGAAUUCCAGGUGUAGCGGUGAAAUGCGUAGAGAUCUGGAGGAAUACCGAUGGCGAAGCAGCCAUCUGGCCUAAUACUGACGC